rnacentral:rRNA from 1 species
GAUGAACGCUGACAGAAUGCUUAACACAUGCAAGUCUUUGGCGAAGCUGUGCUUGCACAGCCUAGCCAAGGCGGACGGGUGAGUAACGCGUAAGGAACUUGCCCUGCAGUCAGGGAUAACAGACGGAAACGACUGAUAAGACCUGGUAAAGUCAGGCGGACUCAUGUCCAGCCUGAUGAAAAGUGAUGCUGCAGGAGAGCCUUGCGUCCUAUUAGCUUGUUGGUGGGGUAACGGCCCACCAAGGCGAUGAUAGGUAGCCGGCCUGAGAGGGUGGACGGCCACAAGGGGACUGAGAUACGGCCCUUACUCCUACGGGAGGCAGCAGUGGGGAAUAUUGGACAAUGGGGGCAACCCUGAUCCAGCAAUUCUGUGUGCACGAUGAAGGUUUUCGGAGUGUAAAGUGCUUUCAGCAGGGAAGAAAAAAAUGACGGUACCUGCAGAAGAAGCGACGGCUAAAUACGUG